CUGCGUCAUGCAGAGGUACCCGCGCAGGACUUGUUUUUUGAAGUCCUGAGGUGCCUGAAACGCGGACGACACCGUGUGCGGUGUAUCAUUCCACCGUUUCCCUCUAGACGUUGCCAGUGCUGAAGCUACGUGAACAUCUGUCUGGGGACCUGAGCUCCCACAUUAAGGAAACUGAUGUAGAACAUGGCUUGCUUUUUGCGGCGUGGAGCUCCAGGACCGUUCCCCUCUACAAUUCCACUCUCGCGUCCUGUGUUCACAGCACUUCCCACCAAGUGCAUUUUUGCGCACAGGAAGGUUGAGAUGGAAUGCAUUUCCAACACUGAGGCGUACUUUUCCAGAAGCUGGACCGAGCAGGACCCUCAGCACAGAAACUGCAGAGGCUGUGGAAGCAGCUGGUACAGGAGGCACUGACACAGCAGAGAUGUGUACAUCACAGUUGCACUCAGGAAGUGGGACUGAAGCCCUGCAACCCUGCCCGCCGGUGAGUGCUGAGCGGCACGAGUCCAGUCUCCACGACCACUGCUAUGCUUCAAUCGCACCACCCUUGCCAACACAGACUGGUAUGCUCCUGACAGCAAGCGACGUCUUGCAGCUUUCUUUGCAGCACCAGUCGAAGUCACCACAGCAUGCAGCAUGUACG